UGAGGUAACGGCUCACCAAGGCAACGAUCAGUAUCCGGCCUGAGAGGGCGGACGGACACACAGGGACUGAGACACGGCCCAGACUCCUACGGGAGGCAGCACUGGGGAAUUGUUCGCAAUGGGCGCAAGCCUGACGACGCAACGCCGCGUGGAGGAUGAAGAUUUUCGGAUCGUAAACUCCUGUCGAAUGGGAC
rnacentral:rRNA from 1 species